ACAAUGCUGCAGUUUUUCAGGCUUUAGCUGUAAGUGUGUAUGAUGUGAUGUUGUUUAAUGUUAGGGAUACUGUAUACCAAGUAAGUUAGCAAUAUUAAUAGCUAAAAGUAAUUAAAAGUAAGCAGUGUACGUCAGUACUUUUUGAACAAGGCAAUUACAAUUUUAAAUAAUAACAGUCUAACUAUUAACUACUUAAAGAAGUUAUAUGAUUCUGUUCUAGGACUGGUGUUAUCUAAGCAUGUGUAGUGUAAGUGUGUAUGAGAGAAAGAGGGCACAGUGUUUUAUAUUCUGACUCUAUAUAAGAUCCCAAUGGUAGUCAAGUUAGACUCAUGAAGAAAGGUACAACAAACAACUGGAAGUGACCAUGUAAACAUUGGGAAAAACAUCAAAAUAAAAUAACAAAGCAGUUCGCUAAACCCAAGACAGGGAUCAUGGGUUCAGACAGAAAACAAAAACCAGGUUUGUGUGACUUAGAGGCCAUUCAUUCUUGGUUUUAGUAAUUGUAUGGGAUUUGUUUAAAGACACACAUUUAUAGAAUCAUUCAUUUUACAGCUGUGCAUCAUGAACUGGUUCUUUUGAUAGUGUACUGUAGUUACAGUAAAUGUAUUUCUGAACUACAGAGCUGGUUGUUCUCUACACUAGCCCGUUAUCUUGGAGAAUACAUUUCAGCUCAUUGACACUUAUGCUGCUUUUAGUAUUAUAUUAAUUUAUUUAUAAAAAAAUGUGAUAAUAGUAGAGGCAUUUGCCACAUACAGUAUGUAACUACAUGUAUAUUACAUCAUCAAAAACUUUAAAAAGACACCCAAAGGCCUCUAGAAGAUUCCGGUUAAAAUGAUCAGAUUUAGUUUCAAUUUGACCAAACUAAAUUAAGCAAUUAUCUUCUACAUAGGACUGGGCAGAUUGCCAUGAAUAUUCUUUGCUCAACUUGACUAAAUUCUUCACAUUUUCCUUCCUGCCCUGAUCUACAUGACAGCUAGUUCAUAGAGCCAACAGUUCAGAAGAUUUUGCACACAGACUGCCUCAAGGCUUAAGCUCUCAACCACAGCUGUGGUAAAUGUACCAUUAUAUGAUACCUCUUAGAGGGCCAAGUGAGGCUAUUGCUGUGUGUCUGAUGAAACCACAUAAUGGUGCAUGUACUAUUGACGUUUCACUCACACUAUUAUACAGUAAGUCUGAUGCCUUAAGACAACAAAGCUUCUAGUAAUGGGUGGAUGCAAGUCAAUUUAUUUAUACUGCCCCAAUUCAAAUGGUCACAAACCAGAUAUGACUCAUUGUGAUUUGAUUUAAGAUUUUUCAUAUUAUGUUAUGUUUUGUUAUCAUGUUAUGUUUAGGUAACAGUUAUUUAAAAAGUAGGCACUAGGUAUGUUAAGAAAUUAAAUAUUGCAGAUUUUGUUAUUGACCUAAGAAAUAUCAGUGACACCUUUCUAUAAUAAUUAUUGUUAAAUUAAUUUUAAGUUUCCAGGGACUAAUGACCAAAUUAUGAAAAUAGUUUCAAGGUUUUAUUUUCUAAAGACAACAAUGUUUUUAAAAUAUUAAAGUUUGAAGUCUAAAGUCUAGUAACAACUAUACUGGGAAACGUAUUAAACAGGUAGAGAAAGAUAUAUAUGUGCUUGUCACUGAGCGGACAGUGAUUUACAAGGGGUUAAUAAAACAGUCAUUAACUAGCUCAUCGCAGCUUAUGGUUCUCUGUUGUCAUUUGGUGAUGAGAGAUGCAUCGUCUGUACAGGAUGGCGACCAACGUAGGGUUCUGAUUAUGCAGAGGUCCGGCUUCUCUCACAGAAAAACAACAAAAGAAGGCAAAUUAAAUUAAAUUAAUUAUUUUCCUUUCAUCACUCGGGGGUCAUAUCAUGCCUAGAUGAAGCUUUGGGUGUUUGGCCUUCUUUUUACUUAACUCUCAUCAGGCUUUUAGAGUUGAAUGGAGGCCAGUAUUUACUGCUCUUUUUUCUCAACACAUGAUCUUUGGUCCAAAUUAUUUGCAAAUCAUAUUUCCAUUUGGCUGUGGAAAAUUGUUUUCACUUUAAUUGCCUUUGUAAAUACCAGAAUUUGAUGUCUGCAACACACUCAAAGUUUUCCUCUAAAGCCAAUGUGUUUAGAAGCAGUACUGUACAUAUAAAAUGUUACAAAAAGUAACAGCUAUUGAGAAUAUCCUGUGUAGCCAUAAAACGUGUACUGUAAAAGCAAGCCAGAUCUGUAGGUUAUAGGAAAAUUACUGUAUAAUUACUAGCAAUUGCGGCUAAUUGGGACAGUACUUUUCUACUGGAUUGCCCUUUUUUAAAGCACCACACAAGAACAACAACAUAAUUAAUCUCAAGGAACUGUAAAAAUAGAAUAUAACAAUACAACUACAAGUUUAACGGAUUAUAUACACAACCUAACAAAUCCCACCUCCAAUAACUAAGAGUGUUGAGGAAAAUUACUUGAAUAGCGUAAAUGUUUAUAAGAGGUGUGCAGCCAUCCCUCUUAUCAGUUUAACUGUUUUUAAACUCUGAGAGUCAGAGGUGAACAUCCAUCCGUCCGGACGGACGGACGGAUGGAUGGAUCCAUCGCGGGGUACACCCUGGACAGGACGCCAGUCCAUCGCAAGUCUGGUAGACUUUAAUAGAAAUACAGUAGGAGUGGAAGUAUUUAAAAGUACUCUGCUAAUAAUUGAAAUUAAUAUAUAAAUACUAGAAAUGACACAGAUUGAAAAGACAGUUUAAUUUGGGAACACUGGAAACUGGAAGUAGGUAAUGUAAAGCUCAAUGUCUGGGGACAAUCUUUAGGCGACAUCUGCAAUUAUCAGGAAAUGCUUGAGAGUUGGUGAACUUAAGUUGGCUGUGAUGUUCACAGUAGGGGAGAACACCAGGUACGUACAGUAGUACGUCUAGUACAGCGGUGGAUAAGUUACAUUAAGACUGGGCAACCCCACGAGGCCCUAACAUGGACACGUGUACCACAAAAUAGCUACAAGAAACAAAUACCCAUUGUCAGUAUACCUACACCACACAGUAAUCCGAACAUCACUGAAAACACGUUGGCUAUAGCACAGUCAGGAGACAAUGUGGGUCAGUAACAGGCAGAGUAUCAUCGCAACGUACUGAAAAUUAACCAAAUGAGAGUACAGUACUACCUGGUAGAAUUCUUUAAUAUUUCAAAACAGUGUUGUAACUAGUUAAGAUUCAGAUCCUUGGAAUCAACUUAUUUGUGUCAUUAAAAAUGCAGAUUAGCAGCUCAAUCGUUAUUCUACUGAUUCUAGUCAAAAAGGUGUCUAUUUUUUCUCUCUACUGCUCUUUGCUUUUGUCUUAAACUUGUCAACGUUUUGGUUUUGAACUGAUUCUGGUGUAACAGCUUUGAAAAUGGAACUUUGCCAGGAAACUAGAUGAGCAAGAAUAUGAUGGAAAGGCAUUGCAGAAACGGUGGGGAGGGAGGGCAGUGUAUGAUUUAGACUGCUAGUCAGAAGAUAUACGGUCGUAGUGCACCAAGGCUUUCAUAAAUUCAUCUUGAAACACUCAGCCCCGCUGCCAUUUGUCUAGUGUCUCAAGCAGUCCUGCAGCUUUUGCACUGCACUAAUACAGUGAUGCACACCCUGUUCUAUUUUGACAAUAUUUUGAAAUAUAAGCAACCAUCACUCGCCAAAAUUUGAUUACUCAAAUUCCCCAUGGAGAAUGUAAAUUUUAUGCAGUUGUUGCCUAUCCGUGAAAAGCAGACACUGUGAAUAUGAAGUGAAACGCUAUCUAAUAAGCCUUUCGAUUAGAGACCAAAGAAAUAAUCCUAAUCUACUGCAGAGAAAGGGAAGGAGAGUUUUAGGCUACACUUUAAGUGAAACAGUGUGAUCAAGGGGUCAAUUGUUCUUCAAUCAUAUCCAUUUUCCUCAGUAGGUCGUAUCUCUACAAUAGUCAGAUAUCUUUCUUGUGUGUGCCAACAAUAUUUAAUUAACUCUUUGUAUAAUUUACACUAUGAAAUAUUAUUUCACCUGCAGCCCCUGUAAAGCCAAUACCACCAAAACUGAUUAAAUUACAGCAGUGUCUUAAAGCAUCUUUCACCUACAUAGUGAGAUGGACAAGUUCAGUCAACUGUCAACAUCCUUGAGAAACCAUUUUUCUUAUCUUGGGAAUCCCAGGUCAGGCUAUUUUAUUGGGCCUUGUUUAGGUUGCUGUGAUUUUUAAAAUAAGUUGUCAACCCCUAAAUCAAGCCAAUUUGUGACAGGGGCAUCUGAGAAACUGAUCAGUAGCCUGAUAAUGGCAUCAUCACUGGUACUGAUCCUUGUUGAAAUUGGUCUCAUACAGCAAUGCAUUUGCUCACUGUUCAAGAAAGAAAUUUCAAAGGGCUAGUAAAAGAAAUAAACUUUCCAGUGUCCCAUGAAUAUAUCUGUAUUUUAAUGACUAUUUUUAGUAUGUUAGGAUGGAUUUACCAGAUACAUGGCGAGAAAGAUAGAGAGGGUGAAAAAUAAAACAUCAGUCACCAUGAGUGAUUGCUUCAUUUGAAGUCGCAUGAAGCAUUCUUCAGGGUCUUUGCUGCAUUUUUUACAUUAGCAUGCUUGGGUUUUUUUACUCUCUCCUUGAUUGAGGCUCAAUCUGCUCAAAAGAAAUAAAAUGAGCCCUGACAGCUUAAAUAACUUGUUCAAAGUUUCAGUCUAAAAUGCUACAUUUCAGUAGAACACAAAAUUGCAUUAGGACUUUGACCAACAUUUGAAUAUUUCAGAACUCAAUCAGGUGCUCUUCAACGGAAGUAUAUCAGCUCUUUUGAAAAAUAAUGUGUCUUCACACUGUAUGGCUCUGGUUCUGUAAUGUAAAGUGGACGGUUUGGUCAUAAUCAAAUUGUUUACUAUGUGUCUUUCCUGUAUAACUCGCGCCCUCGUUGCUGCGCAUUGACGUUUUAAUUCUCGUCCUGUCUUUGCCACUAAAUCGUUUGAUGUAAUACAGAAAUGCUCACGGACAAGAAAACCAAUAGUGAACACGCGCUGCUUAUAUGUAAAACUAGAGCAAUCCUAUGAAUGAGACGCUGCUCCGCUUUCGCACAGUGUUGAAGUAACCGUGACUGUUUGUCACAAACACGACACCAAAGACGAGUUAAAUGUACUGUAGGAUCUGACAACACAAUAACAACAGACACACGAUAACAGCUGCUGGCGCCAACGUAUUAAAUUAUACACUUUAUAAAACAACUGGAUUUAUCGUAAGAUCGAGUCAAAGUGGUCGCAAGUUAACCUGGCUGCUGCUGUUGUUGCGCGAGACCCUGACCUACUUGGUAAAUAUGUUUAAUGCAGGUAGUCAAGGGUAGAUCUACCUGUGGCUCAAUGGUUCUGUACGUAUGUGGACUGAGGCCUGUUUUUGUUGGUUUGAGUGGUCUCGGGAUCGAAUCCCGUUAAAAUUUGUUUAUUUCACAAAGUGUUUGUGAAUGUUUUUAUUUAUAAUUGAUGAAUAUAUAACUCAGCCAAGGCUCUGAAGACCAAACUCAGAGGUUUAACAUUGAUCCUUUAUUGAAAGCAGAGCGUAGCAAUUCAGGAGCAGACUCACUCAGUCCUCACUUUCCUUUAGCCACUUACGUAACUAUAACACGAGCAGCGUUCAAACUGCGUCAGGUUGUGUCUUGUAAAACUAUUUACUUAAAUCGUGUACAAACGACAAGACAUUAACAAAACAUUGACACGGCAUCGGCGUGGACAGCUAACAUGCCUCCUUCCUGCUAAAAACAGCUACCGUAACUAAGAGCAACCGGGGCGGCAUUCGGAAGUCGGUCGCCAGUUAACGUGGUCACGACUUAAUACGGAACACGGCAGACACGUACUUCUGCCAGAGAACGACACAGUGAGGCUUGAACACUGACCACUCAGCCAACAGACAGUAGAAUCCUUUGCCUAAGUGGACUUCCACUCAUUUUGGGGGAUGAUCAUUCUGCGUUCCUGAAGACCUGCACUGAUGUAACUGACAAGGACCCUUACAGUUAAAACACCAGUGGGAAUCCAGAAAAUCCUCAGCUUAACCCAUUCAGAGUGGGAGUCAUCUUGGAGGGGAGUGUGGUGAUGGAUGAACUGGCCAACCUGCCUCAGACUUUCUAUCUUGGACUGGUCAAUGCGCCCCACCUGGACUACCAUGAAAAACAUUUUUACUUUCGUUUAGCAGUGCUGUAAUGCUCAAGCUUAUUAGGUGCCGAAUGUAAAAGGAACACCUAUAACUAGUUUUCUCACAUUUAACCAAAUGACACAACAUGUUUUCUCACAUGUGUCUUUUGUCUCUUUAGUCUCUUUUAGUUAAAUGUGUAAAAGUCUAAUGUAAAUGUUAUAGGUGCUCCUUUUAUAUUCGGCACCCCAUACAGGCUGGGUAGAAGUGAGAUUCACUGUUUGGUACUAUAUACAUAGUAUAUUGUAUGGCAUAGUUGCAGCAUGUCUGGUUGGGAGUCACAUCACAAUUGUAGCUUCUGUUUAUUAUAUUCAAAUGACUGAUGCAAAAGAAAACAUGUUCUAUUGUCUGUUAGACCAGAUUAAAAACAAAGGGUCUCCCUGCUGUUGGACCAGUCUGGUAAAUUCUGAUUUUGAAUUUAAAAUAAAGUAGAGCAAGAAUACAUUUGUUUUGAGUGUGUUUUUAUUUUUAUGAUUUCAGUGGUCAGGUUUAUUCAGAUAUUUUUAUUUAAUUUGAAAUUAGUGAUAUGACUUAGCUUGAGAUUGUUGACUGAUUGUUGAUUAAUAAGUUUUGUUAAUAAUUGAAUUAUUAGUAAUUAAAGAUUUUUGUUUAAAUCAAUAAGGUAAUUAUUUCACUGAAUGUAAAGUUUUAUAUGAAGUAGUAACAGAUAAGUUGAUGCUAAUAAAGAUUUUAAGUUAACCGAACACUCUAGAUUGCUCGCUGUGUUUCUACAUACAGGUGGGUAA